rnacentral:ncRNA from 1 species
UAACCUUGUCAAAAAUGGUACGUACAAGGGGAAUCCAACUUUUUAAUUAAAACAAAGCAUUGUGAUGGUCCUUGCAGAUGCUAACACAAUGUGAUUUAUGUGCAAUGAUCUGCAUGUCAAAGUGAAUAAAUUCAACCAAGCGCGGGUAAACAAUGGGAGUAAAUAUAACUCUCUUAAGGUAUCUAGAUGCCUCGCCAUCUAAUUAGUGACACACAUGAAUGGAUUAACGAGAUUCCCAUUAUCCCAAGAAACUAUCUAGAGAAACCACGACCAAGGAAACAAGCUUAGCAAAAUUAGCGAGGAAAGAAGACCUUGUUGAGCUUGACUAUAGUCCGACUUUGUGAAAUGAAUUGAGAGGUGUAGAAUAAGUGAGAGUUGUUUUCGGCGGGAGUAAAAUUCCACUACUUUUAACAUUGUUUUACUUAUUUCAUGGGGAAAAGAUGAGGCAUUGCACAUAUUUUAAAAGAUAACGCACAUUUCAUCAAAGUGUUGUCAUUGAUGGCAAUGGUUGAAAGCUCAUUCUUCACACACUUGAUGGAAAUGAGCUUAGGAAACCAAAGAGGAUCAUUGCUUUUAAGGAUGAAGAAAGUUCUUGUAACAAUCCAUAUGUUUUUAGCCAACUAUAAGUAUCUAUGUUACGGUUCCUCCUUGU